rnacentral:rRNA from 1 species
CGUGGGUAACCUGCCCAAGAGAUCGGGAUAACACCUGGAAACAGAUGCUAAUACCGGAUAACAACAGAUGAUGCCUAUCAACUGUUUAAAAGAUGGUUCUGCUAUCACUCUUGGAUGGACCUGCGGUGCAUUAGCUAGUUGGUAGGGUAACGGCCUACCAAGGCGAUGAUGCAUAGCCGAGUUGAGAGACUGGUCGGCCACAUUGGGACUGAGACACGGCCCAAACUCCUACGGGAGGCAGCAGAC